rnacentral:rRNA from 1 species
ACAGAAGAAGUCCCGGCUAACUUCGUGCCAGCAGCCGCGGUAAUACGAAGGGGGCUAGCGUUACUCGGAAUUAUUGGGCGUAAAGCGUGCGUAGGCUGCUUAGUAAGUCAAAAGUGAAAGCCUUGGGCUCAACCUAAGAAUUGCUUUUGAAACUACUAAGCUUGAGUACUGUAGGGGGUAGCGGAAUUCCUAGUGUAGGGGUGAAAUUCGUAGAUAUUAGGAGGAACACCGGAGGCGAAAGCGGUUAUCUGGACAGUCACUGACGCUGUUGCACGAAAGCGUGGGGAGCAAACAGGAUUAGAUACCCUGGUAGUCCACGCUGUAAACGAUGAGUGCUA